rnacentral:lncRNA from 10 species
AGAGCAUCAAGACAAAAAUCUCAGUCUUCGAGGAACUCACAGUGUAGCAGAAAAGACAAAGGAGGUAAACAGGAGGAGGAUGAAUAAUUCAUCUUGAUGUAAUCAUGCAAGACUCCUAAGAAGAUGUUAGGAGACCCUGUCAUCAUUCUUUUGGCCUCUAGUGUCCUUUAUCUUCAUGUUUGCUGGCUUCCUUUUACUACUAUGGAAAUACAACAUAUGCAAAAGUAGUGUUUUCACUGUUUAAAAACAUCGUCAGCAGCAUCAUCAUCAUUAACUGCACCAGGAAGCCAUGACUCCUUUCUGGACAAGGUGCACUUGCCUGUCAUCCUUCCAUCUCUUUCUUCCUCCUUGAAGUUCACAAUACCCAGUCCAGGAGCAUUGCAGAGAAUGCUAGGUGUGUCUGCAGACUUGACUUUAAAAGAAAACAAGUUCCUUCAAGUGAGUUCAUCAUGAUGGGAAUGAUAAUUUGUUUGAGAGAAUGUGUGUUCUUUGGCAAAGGAACUCCUGUUAUACCAUGACAGUAAUAAUAGCAGUAAUAAAAUCACCAAUAAUAAAUUUACUUUUGAAUUUAUUUA